CUCAGCCUCCCAAGUAGCUGGGAUUACAGGUAUGCAUCACCACACCCGGCUAAUUUUUAUAUUUUUAGUAGAGACGGCAUUUCACCAUAUUGGCCAGGCCGGUCUUGAACUCCUGGCCUCAGGUGAUUCACCCCCCACUUGGUCUCCCAAAGUGUUGGGAUUACAGGCGUGAGCCACAGAGCCUGGCUAAGUUUUUUUCUUUUAAAUUAGCCAGGCGUGGUGGCCCCAGCUAACUUGCAAGGCUGGGGCGGGAGAAUCACUUGAGCUCAGAAGUUAGGAUUGGGCCACUCCGCUCCACCCUGGGCGGCAGGGCCAAACCCAGGCUCCAAAACAUUUUAAAAAUUAAAAAGAAAUAUUAAAAAGAAAGACACGGCCGGGGUUCGGCCUUCGCCUCGGGAGGGGGCUCUGCAGCAGCGCUUCCUCCUUCUCCCGCCUCCUCCACCCUGGCCCUCCAGGGUCCCCUCGGUCCCCCAGUCCCCACCCCGCACCCCCAAGCCUGCUAACCUUUAACCUCCUCCGGGCCCCCAGCUCCCGGGCACCCAAGGAAAGGAGCCUGCGAGGGGCCGGGUGUUGGGGGGGCUCCCCGACUCCCACUGCAGGGCUUCCGGGCACCUCCCGGCCCUGCCCGAAUACGCACCGCCCGCAGCGGCCGCCGGUAUCACUGCUCCUCGAAACCCCGGCGUCGGUUGUCGGAGAAGUCGGCGCGGAGGCUCCAGAGCCCGCCCAGCUCCUAGCGCUCCGCGAUGGGCUCUCUCUGCAGCGCCAGCGAAGCCACACAACAGCGGUCCGAACGCCUCCCGGGUAACCGCCGCCCCAUAGGACACACCUCCGCCUCCCCGGCUCCGCCGCAGUCGGCUGCCCUAAGAGCGACGCUGGAGGAACCCGGCGGGCGGGCGGGUCGCGAGGCGCUCCGGCCCCGUGACGCGCCUGAGGUCGUCCGCGUCAUCUUUGUUGAGGGCAAGUGCCAGGCCUGGAGGGGGAGGGCGGGGUCGGGCGCUCCCCAGUGGGGCCUGUGGCUGGAACCCUGGGUUAGGCGUUUGGGGAAGCCGGACCCUCACCCUCAACCCCAGCCAAGAAUGGCGACGUCUGUUCCCCAGCUCAGCACAGGCUGGACGAUCCAGGGCAGCAGGCCAGGACAGAACCCCCGAGAUUGGAAGAAAUUUGGAACAAAGAACGCCAGUGAGAGUUCAGUCCUGGGUUCACCCUUAUCUGAGGUCGACGUGAAAGCUGUCACCAUUUUACAUCCGGUGGAGAUCUGUGCUUCCGAAAAACAACUUAGGCACAUUUGUCAAGAUAUUAUCUUUAAUUUCUAUAGGGGAUCAGAUAUCUUGUGGCUCUAACCAACUUGGGUGGCUAUUGUUCUGAG
rnacentral:lncRNA from 1 species